UACAGAGGGUGCGAGCGUUGUUCGGAAUUACUGGGCGUAAAGCGCGCGCAGGCGGCCUUUUAAGUCUCGCGGUGAAAUGCCGGGGCUCAACCCCGUGCCCGCCGGAGAUACUGGGAGGCUGGAGACAUGUAGAGGCAAGCGGAAUUCCGGGUGUAGCGGUGGAAUGCGUAGAGAUCCGGAAGAACACCGGAGGCGAAGGCGGCUUGCUGGGCAUUGUCUGACGCUGAGGCGCGAAAGCUAGGGGAGCGAACGGG
rnacentral:rRNA from 1 species